GGGGCGGCGUAAGAUGUUGCGGUAGAAGCAUAAUUCAGCUUUGGCGUAUUUUCCUGGGGGUCAAGGGGUCGUCGGUUCAAAUCCGGCCGCCCCG
rnacentral:tRNA from 1 species